rnacentral:tRNA from 1 species
ACUUAAAUAGUUUAAUUAUAAAAUGUUAAUUUGUGAUAUUAAUGAUGCAGAAUUGCUUUAAGUU